GACGAACGCUAGCGGCGUGCUUAACACAUGCAAGUCGAGCGGUAAGGCCCUUUCGGGGUACGACGAGCGGCGAACGGGUGAGUAACACGUGGGUGACCUGCCUUUAGCUCUGGGAGUAAGCCUGGGAAACUGGGUCUAAUACCGGAUACGACUCCGCGGUGCAUGCUGUGGGGUGGAAAGCCUUGUGCGGCUGGAGAUGGGCCCGCGGCCUAUCAGCUUGUU
rnacentral:rRNA from 1 species